UGUGGGAAUAGGGCGCGCCGUCGAGCGCUUCCCUGAAACGGAAUCACGGUGAAUGACGGUCGAGACCGAAGUGCACGGGUGACACGCGCCCUGAUCUGAGAAGGUCCGGUGAGGCUUGGAGCGUCACUGCUUUCCUCUUCCUGGCUCUCGGCACGUGUGGCUCUGGGCUCUCAUGUAGAACACAGGAGGUGGAGGUGCGUGGGUCACCGUGUUCCUUAGCGACGCCCUCGAACCCCAGACAAGCCCAGAGGAACGACCGGUUGGACGUUUCUGACCUCGCAAAGCCUCCCACCGACGUGUCUCCGUGACGCCCGGAGAAGAACAGAGGCUUCGUCGUGCUGAGAAGCGGCGGAGUGCAGAUGGAGCCCGAGCCGUAACCCUACAGACCCUGCGUAUUUCAACCACA
rnacentral:lncRNA from 1 species